rnacentral:rRNA from 1 species
GCUUGUCUCAAAGAUUAAGCCAUGCAUGUCUAAGUAUAAGCAAUUAUACCGUGAAACUGCGAAUGGCUCAUUAAAUCAGUUAUCGUUUAUUUGAUAGUACCUUACUACUUGGAUAACCGUGGUAAUUCUAGAGCUAAUACAUGCUGAAAACCCCAACUUCGGGAGGGGUGUAUUUAUUAGAUAAAAAACCAACGCCCUUCGGGGCUUCUUGGUGAUUCAUGAUAACUUCACGGAUCGCAUGGCCUUGCGCCGGCGACGGUUCAUUCAAAUUUCUGCCCUAUCAACUUUCGAUGGUAAGGUAUUGGCUUACCAUGGUUUCAACGGGUAACGGGGAAUUAGGGUUCGAUUCCGGAGAGGGAGCCUGAGAAACGGCUACCACAUCCAAGGAAGGCAGCAGGC